UCCCUUGUGGCUCACCUGGUAAAGAAUCUGCCUGCAAUGCAGAAGACCUGGGUUCGAUCCCUGGGUUUGGGAA
rfam:TPA: Bos taurus chromosome 16, whole genome shotgun sequence.